rnacentral:lncRNA from 1 species
GAGCAGGCCACCCUUCCUCACAAUCAAAUGAAGUUCCAUGUAAACUAAAAGCCGGGAACCAUGGAAAGAGGCUCAAGGCCACAGGCGCACCUCAAGAUAACUCAGUACCAGUAAUGGUCCAGUGGAUCACUGACUGCUGCACCUGAGCUGGCCUAAGAACGCCUCAGUGUUGCUUACUGAUGAACAGAAUUGGAAAUCCUCACACUACAACAGGUGACCAUGGAGACAGUCAACCCUGCCAUUCAACAUGGAAGAAAGGACUGCUCACUGGCUUCUCAGGCUGAGUGCUGUUUCCUUGACCUUGAAGUAAAU